UCCGGGGGAGCAGGGGGACCCCCGCGAGGCCGCUGCCUCCCAGGAGGCGCCACCUGGUGGAGACCGAAAGUAAAGGCGCCGGGAAAGGCCGGCCCGUGCUCCCCGCAGGUUCCCUGACUGGAGUCUCCCUGAGAAAGCUUUGACUUGGCGCUUUCGCAGGCAGCAACUCCUGGGCUCCCCCAAUCUCCGAGCGGAUCACUGAGAACACGAGAGCCCGAUGUGGGUGCUUCAAGUAACAAAGAAGAUUUCAACUGGGCUUGCACUCCCAGAAUAAUGGCUACUGCUGCUGCGGGCUGGCCUCGAGGCAGGAGGCCAAGAGGAGUGAGCCUUUCCUGAGGGAUGCAGACCUUCCCAGCGUUCAGCUUGUCCGGGGGAACGGAAGUCUCCACCGCCCCUCUCAUCCCGCACGCCACUCAACAGGGUUUCAACCAAUUCUUUGAAGGCAGCAGAACGAUGUCUAUUUCUCACUGUAGUGAGAUAUUUUGAUACGUACUUAUUAGACAACGUAGCGAUCGCUACACCUUCAAAACGGUUAAUAAGAAGGCUGCUGCAGCAGGUAGUCGUGGCCGAGUGGUUAAGGCGAUGGACUUGAAAUCCAUUGGGGUCUCCCCGCGCAGGUUCGAAUCCUGCCGGCUACGGUUUUAGC